rnacentral:misc_RNA from 1 species
CACAAAUAUGAUAGCAGACCCUCAUUGGGGCGUAACGUCAGCGCCGUGUCCGCAAUAGCGUCAUUGCUGUUGUGCUGACGCGGCGGGGGGUAACGCCCUUUUGGGCCAGUCUGACUCCAUAUUCACCCAUGUCUUUUGCGUACUACUUGUUUCCCUUGGCGGGUUCGCCCGCCAAUUGGACCCAAUUAAACCUUUUUUGUAGUUGCAAUCAGCGUCAGCAAAACAAUGUAAUAAAUUA